rnacentral:rRNA from 1 species
UACGUAGGGGGCAAGCGUUGUCCGGAAUCAUUGGGCGUAAAGCGCGUGUAGGCGGCUUGAUAAGUCUGCUCUGAAAGCCCGGGGCUCAACCCUGGGAGGCGGGUGGAUACUGUCGAGCUCGAGUCCGGAAGAGGCGAGUGGAAUUCCCGGUGUAGCGGUGAAAUGCGCAGAUAUCGGGAGGAACACCAAUGGCGAAGGCAGCUCGCUGGGACGGUACUGACGCUGAGACGCGAAAGCGUGGGGAGCAAACAGG